AUGACGGGACCCAUCUCGUGUUGGUGUCAAAGCUUAGUGCUU
rfam:Sclerotinia borealis F-4128 unplaced genomic scaffold scaffold00159, whole genome shotgun sequence.